GCGAUUGUGUUCACUGAGUUGCAUGAAUUCGCUGGAGAUAUAUCUGCAGAGUGUCGAGGCAACAAGCAGCCGACACAUUCCUGCCUGAAAUAGAGCGAGUGUUGGAUUUCACCGACCUGACCCGCUCAGCUGCAUUACACAGAUCGUAUCAUCGGUGAUGACAUAGUAGCACAUUUAUUCCCGGAGAGGGCCGCGCGUUCCGAGCGAGGCACGCCACGGCAGCAUACCCCAUACAAGAUGCUGUAGGACAACAAGCCAGUUGGUGGCUCUGGCGUUGAACACUUGACUAAACAUGUGAUGAGGGGUGAAAGAGUGCUGAGACACACUUUACACUGGUGUUAAUUGAAAUUAAAAGGCAUUGUUAAUUAAAAGGCA